GACGAACGCUGGCGGCGUGCUUAACACAUGCAAGUCGAGCGGUAAGGCCCUUUCGGGGGUACACGAGCGGCGAACGGGUGAGUAACACGUGGGUGACCUGCCCUCAGCUCUGGGAUAAGCCUGGGAAACCGGGUCUAAUACCGGAUAUGACUCCAUGACGCAUGUUGUGGGGUGGAAAGCCUUGUGCGGCUGAGGAUGGGCCCGCGGCCUAUCAGCUUGUUGGUGGGGNGAUGGCCUACCAAGGCGACGACGGGUAGCCGGCCUGAGAGGGCGACCGGCCACACUGGGACUGAGACACGGCCCAGACUCCUACGGGAGGCAGCAGUGGGGAAUCUUGCGCAAUGGGCGAAAGCCUGACGCAGCGACGCCGCGUGAGGGA
rnacentral:rRNA from 1 species